GACGUGGCGGAACGGCAGACGCGCUAGACUUAGGAUCUAGUGCCGCAAGGCGUAAGGGUUCAAGUCCCUUCGUC
rnacentral:tRNA from 1 species